UACGUAGGGGGCGAGCGUUGUCCGGAGUUAUUGGGCGUAAAGCGCGCGCAGGCGGUGCGGUAAGUCUCUGGUGAAAGCGCUCGGCUUAACUGGGCGAGGGCCGGGGAGACUGCCACGCUGGAGGGGAGCAGAGGCGAGUGGAAUUCCGGGUGUAGUGGUGAAAUGCGUAGAGAUCCGGAGGAACACCAGUGGCGAAGGCGGCUCGCUGGGCUCUACCUGACGCUGAGGAGCGAAAGCGUGGGGAGCGAACAGG
rnacentral:rRNA from 1 species